GACGAACGCUGGCGGCGUGCUUAACACAUGCAAGUCGAACGGAAAGGCCCUGCUUUUGUGGGGUGCUCGAUUGGCGAACGGGGGAGUAACACGUGAGUAACCUGCCCUUGACUUUGGGAUAACUUCAGGAAACUGGGGCUAAUACCGGAUAGGAGCUCCUGCUGCAUGGUGGGGGUUGGAAAGUUUCGGCGGUUGGGGAUGGACUCGCGGCUUAUCAGCUUGUUGGUGGGGUAGUGGCUUACCAAGGCUUUGACGGGUAGCCGGCCUGAGAGGGUGACCGGCCACAUUGGGACUGAGAUACGGCCCAGACUCCUACGGGAGGCAGCAGUGGGGAAUAUUGCACAAUGGGCGGAAGCCUGAUGCAGAAACGCCGCGUGCGGGAUGACGGCCUUCGGGUUGUAAACCGAUUUCGCAUGUGACGAAGCGUGAGUGACGGUAAUGGGUAAAGAAGCACCGGCUAACUACGUG
rnacentral:rRNA from 1 species